AGGAUGAACGCUGGCGGCGUGCCUAAUACAUGCAAGUCGAGCGAACGGACGAGAAGCUUGCUUCUCUGAUGUUAGCGGCGGACGGGUGAGUAACACGUGGAUAACCUACCUAUAAGACUGGGAUAACUUCGGGAAACCGGAGCUAAUACCGGAUAAUAUUUUGAACCGCAUGGUUCAAAAGUGAAAGACGGUCUUGCUGUCACUUAUAGAUGGAUCCGCGCUGCAUUAGCUAGUUGGUAAGGUAACGGCUUACCAAGGCAACGAUGCAUAGCCGACCUGAGAGGGUGAUCGGCCACACUGGAACUGAGACACGGUCCAGACUCCUACGGGAGGCAGCAGUAGGGAAUCUUCCGCAAUGGGCGAAAGCCUGACGGAGCAACGCCGCGUGAGUGAUGAAGGUCUUCGGAUCGUAAAACUCUGUUAUUAGGGAAGAACAUAUGUGUAAGUAACUGUGCACAUCUUGACGGUACCUAAUCAGAAAGCCACGGCUAACUACGUGCCAGCAGCCGCGGUAAUACGUAGGUGGCAAGCGUUAUCCGGAAUUAUUGGGCGUAAAGCGCGCGUAGGCGGUUUUUUAAGUCUGAUGUGAAAGCCCACGGCUCAACCGUGGAGGGUCAUUGGAAACUGGAAAACUUGAGUGCAGAAGAGGAAAGUGGAAUUCCAUGUGUAGCGGUGAAAUGCGCAGAGAUAUGGAGGAACACCAGUGGCGAAGGCGACUUUCUGGUCUGUAACUGACGCUGAUGUGCGAAAGCGUGGGGAUCAAACAGGAUUAGAUACCCUGGUAGUCCACGCCGUAAACGAUGAGUGCUAAGUGUUAGGGGGUUUCCGCCCCUUAGUGCUGCAGCUAACGCAUUAAGCACUCCGCCUGGGGAGUACGACCGCAAGGUUGAAACUCAAAGGAAUUGACGGGGACCCGCACAAGCGGUGGAGCAUGUGGUUUAAUUCGAAGCAACGCGAAGAACCUUACCAAAUCUUGACAUCCUUUGACAACUCUAGAGAUAGAGCCUUCCCCUUCGGGGGAC
rnacentral:rRNA from 1 species